UGCUCAAGAGCUUCGGGACCUGAAGGGCGUCAGGACCUCCAAAGGCCAGGGUAUGCCACCCCUUCCAUGGCAGUGCCAGCUGCUACAGCAAGGAAGAGCCAGGGAGGAGGGCUCUUGCAGGGCUCCCGCCCAAACAACCCCACUGCCUCCAAGAAAGCAAGCCCUGGUGUCUGCCCGAGAGAACGGACGGCGCGCGAAUGUGAGGGGUAAUGACGCUAGAGUUGGUGACCGUGACCCUGAACUGAUGGAAAGCAGGACAACUUGUUGAGUUUCACCAGAACUACCUCCGCGCUGGAUGGAACCCUGUUCGUAGUUGACACCUCUAUUUUAAAGACCUUUGCAUGUCAUCCUGUUUUCUCAACUAAAUCAUCAAUUAUUUCAGAUAAAGAAUGCACUUUAUGCGUGUUCAGUCUGCCACGUGGGCGAAUCACAAUAUUGUUUAUGCAAAAGCACUCAGAUUUAAGUAAGUUAAUUAACAAAUGGUUAGCGCUACUCUGGUUCCGGCGCUGAGGAAUGCUGUUUGGGGCCGUUUUCGCCCGGUUCACAGCCCUCAAGAAUGCAGUCAUGAGACAAUUAGAGAGCAGUGCGAGAAAAUCUAUAAUCAACUCCUUUACGGGGUGAGGUAAAGGCUGCUUGCUGCAAGUGUA